AUUGAACGCUGGCGGCAUGCCUUACACAUGCAAGUCGAACGGCAGCACGGGUGCUUGCACCUGGUGGCGAGUGGCGAACGGGUGAGUAAUACAUCGGAACAUGUCCUGUAGUGGGGGAUAGCCCGGCGAAAGCCGGAUUAAUACCGCAUACGAUCUACGGAUGAAAGCGGGGGACCUUCGGGCCUCGCGCUAUAGGGUUGGCCGAUAGCUGAUUAGCUAGUUGGUGGGGUAAAGGCCUACCAAGGCGACGAUCAGUAGCUGGUCUGAGAGGACGACCAGCCACACUGGGACUGAGACACGGCCCUGACUCCUACGGGAGGCAGCAGUGGGGAAUUUUGGACAAUGGGCGAAAGCCUGAUCCAGCAAUGCCGCGUGUGUGAAGAAGGCCUUCGGGUUGUAAAGCACUUUUGUCCGGAAAGAAAUCCUUGGCUCUAAUACAGUCGGGGGAUGACGGUACCGGAAGAAUAAGCACCGGCUAACUACGUG
rnacentral:rRNA from 1 species